rnacentral:rRNA from 1 species
AUACGGAGGGCGCAAGCGUUGUUCGGAAUCAUUGGGCGUAAAGAGCGUGUAGGCGGCUUGGUAAGUCGGGUGUGAAAGCCCGGGGCUCAACCCCGGAAUUGCAUUCGAAACUGCCUCGCUAGAGUCCCGGAGAGGAAGGCGGAAUUCUCGGUGUAGAGGUGAAAUUCGUAGAUAUCGAGAGGAACACCAGUGGCGAAGGCGGCCUUCUGGACGGUGACUGACGCUGAGACGCGAAAGCGUGGGGAGCAAACAGGAUUAGAUACCCCAGUAGUCC